CCUACGGGAGGCAGCAGUGGGGAAUCUUGCGCAAUGGGCGAAAGCCUGACGCAGCCAUGCCGCGUGAAUGAUGAAGGUCUUAGGAUUGUAAAAUUCUUUCACCGGGGACGAUAAUGACGGUACCCGGAGAAGAAGCCCCGGCUAACUUCGUGCCAGCAGCCGCGGUAAUACGAAGGGGGGCUAGCGUUGCUCGGAAUUACUGGGCGUAAAGGGAGCGUAGGCGGAUAGUUUAGUCAGAGGUGAAAGCCCAGGGCUCAACCUUGGAAUUGCCUUUGAUACUGGCUAUCUUGAGUAUGGGAGAGGUUAGCGGAACUCCGAGUGUAGAGGUGAAAUUCGUAGAUAUUCGGAAGAACACCAGUGGCGAAGGCGGCUAACUGGCCCAUUACUGACGCUGAGGCUCGAAAGCGUGGGGAGCAAACAGGAUUAGAUACCCUGGUAGUCCACGCCGUAAACGAUGAGUGCUAGUUGCCGGCAUGCAUGCAUGUCGGUGACGCGAGCUACGACAUAAGACACCUCCGCCGUCGGGAGGUACGGUCGCGAGAAGUUAAACGUAACGUAAAGUAAGUUAGAGUCGUUGAGACGNGCCGACGGACGACGACGAGGGAGGAGG
rnacentral:rRNA from 1 species